rnacentral:rRNA from 1 species
GGGGAUAAAUUAAAAAUUUUUGGGGGUUUAAUAAAAAAAUUUUUAAUAUAAAAAUAUUAGGGGGUUAAAGUAUUUUUAUAGAAAAAAUUAUAAUAUUUUAUAGUGAAUUAAGUAUUGAGAGAGAAUUUUGAAAUAGGUUGAAAUAAUAAUUAAUUUAAAAGUAAUUUUUAAUUGAUGUAUCUUGGGUAUCAGAGUUUAUUAAAUAAAAUUUUUAGGGGAAAAAUUCUCGAAUUUAAAAGAGAUAAUUAAUUAAAAAAGUUACUAUAGCAAAAUUAUUUUAAAUAAUUAAUUUGAAAUGAAAUGUUAAUCGUUUUUAAAUAUAUCUAGUUUUUUUAGAAAAAAAUUUAAUUUUAAAUUUAUUUGAAAUAAUUAAUUAAUUAAUUAAUUAAUUAUUAUGUAAAAUUUUAUAUUUUAAGGGAUAAGCUUUAAAUUAAAUGUGUAAAAUAAAUGAUAUUGUAAUAAUUAAAUUGAAAAUUUUAUAAUUUAUAUUGUUAAUAAAUUUUAUUUUAUUAUAAAUAAUUUCAUUUAAAUAUAAAAUUUAAUUUAAAAAUUUACUUUUUUAUAAAAAAAAAUUUUUUAAAUAUGAAAAAUUAAAUAUAAUGAUAAAAUUAGUAUAUAAUAAAGAAAAUAAUAUUAAAAAUUUUUUAUUUAAUUAAUUGAAAGGAAUUCGGCAAAAUUAAAAUUAUUCACUUGUUUAUCAAAAACAUGUCUUUUUGAAGUUAAUAUAAAGUCUAAUCUGCCCACUGAUAAUAAAUUAAAGGGCUGCAGUAUUUUGACUGUACAAAGGUAGCAUAAUCAAUAGUCAUUUAAUUGAUGACUUGUAUGAAAGAUUGGAUGAAAUAUGAACUGUCUCUUAGUUAAUUAUAGAAUUUAAUUUUUUAAUUAAAAAGUUAAAAUAAAAUAAAAAGACGAGAAGACCCUAUAGAGUUUAAUAAUUUUUUUUAGUUAAGGUUAUUUAUAAAUUGAAAGUUAAAAUUAUAUAAUAUUAUUUUGUUGGGGUGAUAAAAAAAUAUAAAUAACUUUUUUUUAAUAAUUACAUAAAUACGUGAGUUGAUGAUCCAAUUUUAUUGAUUAUAAGAAAAAAUUACCUUAGGGAUAACAGCGUAAUUUUUUUUUUUAGUUCAUAUAAAAAAAAAAGUUUGCGACCUCGAUGUUGAAUUAAGAUAAAAUUUAAAUGCAGAAGUUUAAAAUUUUGAUCUGUUCGAUCAUUAAAAUCUUACAUGAUUUGAGUUCAAACCGGUGUAAGCCAGGUUGGUUUCUAUCUUUUAUUAUAUAAAAUAUUUUAGUACGAAAGGAUUAAAUAUUUAAAUUAAAUUUAUAAAAUUAAUUUGAAUAUUAUUAAUAAUAAUAAUAAUUAAAAAUAUGAAAUUAUAAUAAAU